GACGAACGCGGCGGCGUGCCUAAUACAUGCAAGUCGAACGCUUUUUCUUUCACCGGAGCUUGCUCCACCGAAAGAAAAAGAGUGGCGAACGGGUGAGUAACACGUGGGUAACCUGCCCAUCAGAAGGGGAUAACACUUGGAAACAGGUGCUAAUACCGUAUAACACUAUUUUCCGCAUGGAAGAAAGUUGAAAGGCGCUUUUGCGUCACUGAUGGAUGGACCCGCGGUGCAUUAGCUAGUUGGUGAGGUAACGGCUCACCAAGGCAACGAUGCAUAGCCGACCUGAGAGGGUGAUCGGCCACACUGGGACUGAGACACGGCCCAGACUCCUACGGGAGGCAGCAGUAGGGAAUCUUCGGCAAUGGACGAAAGUCUGACCGAGCAACGCCGCGUGAGUGAAGAAGGUUUUCGGAUCGUAAAACUCU
rnacentral:rRNA from 1 species